UGUUAACCCCUCAAAAAUGUUAUGGAAAACAUGGAGGGACACAAAAUUGGAAUAAUGGUUCUUCUUUUCUGCGGUACAAUUCUAUUGGGAGUUAAUCCGACAAAUGCUGCGAAACUUUGCCCAGAUAUUUGCUUGGACUAUGCGUAUAUGACCUGCCCAUCAUCAGGGAAUCAGAAGCUUGAUCCGGCCUGCAACUGCUGUUUUGCUCCAGGCUGCACCCUCUACCUCUCUGAUGGAACUUCUACUUACUGUAAUUGAUGGAACAGACGAUUCACACGCUCUUUACAAUCUCCAAUAUGCUUGCAAAUAAUGAGAUUGGAUGUGUGGCAAAAAUAAAUAAUAAAAAUAAAACAAGUGAGACUUAUUGUCUCUAUGGUCUAAUAUAUAUAUGCGCAUUUAUCCUCUUCUUUUUCUUUGUGGGUUUUCAAAGAGCAUGUACUAUUGCUAAAUAAACAAAGAAGCCAGAAAACAGACCCAGCAGUUGACACAAGAACAAAAAAACAACACAAUAGAGAUUCCAUUUAGCUUUAUUGCAAAUUCGAGCUAGUAGAGGUUUUAACUGUCAUAGGAAGAUCUCUAUCAAACAACACCCUCGAAAUUGGAUUUACAAGCCCAGUUUUGGCAAUAUCAUUUAAUACCAACCACCAGAAUUCUUA